rnacentral:rRNA from 1 species
AUUGAACGCUGGCGGCAGGCCUAACACAUGCAAGUCGAGCGAGCGGCGGACGGGUGAGUAAUGUCUGGGAAACUGCCUGAUGGAGGGGGGUAACUACUGGAAACGGUAGCUAAUACCGCAUACCAUCAGAUGUGCCCAGAUGGGAUAAGCUAGUAGGUGGGGUAACGGCUCACCUAGGCGACGAUCCCUAGCUGGUAUGAGAGGAUGACCAGCACCUCGGGAACGGAGACACGGUCCAGACUCCUACGGGAGGCAGCAGUGGGGAAGAUUGCACAAUGGGCGCAAGCCUGAUGCAGCCAUGCCGCGUGUGUGAAGAAGGCCUUCGGGUUGUAAAGCACUUUCAGCGGGGAGGCGUUACCCGCAGAAGAAGCACCGGCUAACUCCGUGCCAGCAGCCGCGGUAAUUC